rnacentral:rRNA from 1 species
UGAGCAAUCUGCCCUUCUCUUUGGAAUAAGCGUUGGAAACGACGUCUAAUGCCGAAUACGACCUCCUUUCGCAUGAUCGGAGGUGGAAAGCUCCGGCGGAGAAGGAUGAGCCCGCGGCCUAUCAGCUAGUUGGUGUGGGUAAUGGCCCACAAGGCGACGACGGGUAGCCGGCUGAGAGGGUGACCGGCCACACUGGGACUGAGACACGGCCCAGACCUCCGUACGGGAGCAGCAGG